rnacentral:rRNA from 1 species
AUUGAACGCUGGCGGCAUGCCUUACACAUGCAAGUCGAACGGCAGCACGGACUUCGGUCUGGUGGCGAGUGGCGAACGGGUGAGUAAUACAUCGGAACGUGCCUAGUAGUGGGGGAUAACUACUCGAAAGAGUGGCUAAUACCGCAUGAGAUCUACGGAUGAAAGCAGGGGAUCGCAAGACCUUGUGCUACUAGAGCGGCCGAUGGCAGAUUAGGUAGUUGGUGGGAUAAAAGCUUACCAAGCCAACGAUCUGUAGCUGGUCUGAGAGGUUGACCGGCCACAUUGGGACUGAGACACGGCCCAG